AAAAAAUAUAAAACACAUCCAUAAUUCUAGGCCGUCUCUAGAGUAGGUUACGUGGUCAAACGUGCCGUAAAUUUCUAUGUUCUAUGUUCAUAAUCUUUAUUAGAGAAUUGGAGUUACAUUAUGUUUUUAUCUCCAAAUAUUUUCUACUCCAUUUCUGACCUUCACUAACUCUUUUAGCUUGGUAUUCUUCAUAUUCUCUCAUCAUUUCCGGUGGUUAAUAGCUUUAAUUCGGGAGUAAUAUAUUUAUUUUCUAUCCGUGCUGGCUCUUAACAGGAGGUGUAUACACUCUAUAGCCACUUUAUUAGCACACCAGUACACUUGCUCAUUAAUGCAAAUAUCUAAUAAUGUGGCAGCAACUCAAUGCAUAAAAGCAUGCAGACAUGGUCAAGAGGUUCGGUUAUUGUUCAGACUAAACAUCAGAAUGGGAAAGAAAUGUGAUCUAAGUGACUUUAACCAUGGAAUGAUUGUUGGUGCCAGAUGAGGUGGUUUGAGUAUCUCAGAAACUACUGAUCUCCUGGGAUUAUCAUGCACAACUGUCUCUAGGAUUUGCAGAGAAAAAUGCAAGAAACCAAAAAUAUCCAGUGAGCAGCAGUUUUAUGGGCAACAACAAAUUGUUAAUGAGAGAGAUCAGAGGAGAAUAGCCAGACUGAUUCAAGCUGACAAGAAGGUGAUAGUAACUUAAAUAACCUCAUGUUACAAUGGUGGUGUGCAGAAGAGCAUCUCUGACCACACAACAUGACAAACCUUGAAGUGUACGGGCUCCAACAGCAGAAGACCAGACCAGGUUCCUCUGCUGUACCUAAUAGAGAGGCCACUGAAUGUAUACAGUGUCUUUUUUUAAAAAAAGUUAAACCACUUUGUUUUUAACACAACAUACAGAAGAAUCAUCUUGACAAAUGUAAGCAAUUUUGGGGUAAACUACUAGUAUGUACUCAUAUAAAUGCAUGCAAGUCUAGGAUAUCAAACCCAGAUGUACAAACGUUUGUAUGUGAAUGUGGAAGUUGUAAACCUCAUGUUCAUGACCACAAAUUUUUGGACACAAUCCACUAUGAACUCUGUAUGGAAUCCAGCAGCAAAUCAAGAGAUACCCUAAUAUUUAUUCCUUUGCAUUUUUGGAAUGCUUCAUAAAUUGGCAUUUAACUCCUGUGCAAGGCCAUUCUAAUCUUUGUGUCAUUCCCUACUUUAGUUUUCUGCUGCUUAUUUUGCUCUUCAACCUGGCAGAAGAUUGGCAAGUUGUUGUUUCUAAAUUGUGAUUUUAGAGCUGCAAGCAAGAAUGAAUCUUGUGUACAGGCCUGAUCUCCCUACCCAAGGAUGGAUGUACUUGCAACAGAAGAAUGCAGCAAAGAUUCCUGAGAGGCAAGCAUAGAGGGCUUGUUGUAAGAGGACCGGUUUAGCAGAUUAAAUAUGUAAGUCAUUACUUUUGGAAACUAUGAGGUGAUAUCUUUGAAAUGUGUAAUAUUCUUAUAGGGUUUGACAGGGCAUAAAGGGUGUUUAUGUUUCUUCUACCAGGGAUGUACACAGCCAGACGUCACAGUCUCAAAACAAGAGAUCAUCAAUUCAGGACAGGUAUUAUAAGAAGUGUCUUCAUCUAGUGGGCCAGACUUCACACGCUGGGAUAGGCAAAUCCCCUACCUUACCGAUGGUCGAAGAUCCGUCAGCUACCCUCACCUGGUUUGGCCCGUCUGCCAAGAUGGUUUACUGGGGUGUGGCCGCUGCACGUGAUACAGCUACUUGGAGCCACAGCUUUGGACAUCUCACCACAUGUGACUGCCAGCCCUUCCUGAAAUCAACCUGGUUAAUCUCUGCUGCAUUCCUUUUAUGCCUGAAAUGUGAACACAGGAGAUUCUGCAAUGCAACACACACAAAAUGCUAGAGAACUCAGAUUGUCAAGCAGCAUCUUUCUCUCAUGGUCCACUCUCCACUCCUAUUAGCUUCCUUCUCCUUCAGCCCUUUACCUUUUCCACCUGUCACCUCCCAGCUUCUCACUUCAUUCCCCCUCACCUAGCUUCAACUAUCACCUGCCAGCUUGAACUCUUUCCCCCUCUCCCCACUUUCUUAUUCUGGCUUCUUACGCUUUUCUUCCAGUCGUGAUGAAGGGACUCAGCCCAAAAUGCCGACUGUUUAUUAAUCUCUGUCGAUGCUGCUUGACCUACUGAGUCCCACCAGCAUUUAGUGUGUGUUAAUCAAAUGCGAUGGGAGCUCUCAUGUUCAAAACUCAUGAUGCGCAGAACCCUUUCUCUGGCCAGGAUAUUGAGGCUAGAUGAUUACACAUCAAACCCUUAAUAGAAUGAGCCAGGCGUUGAUUGCGUUACUGAAAGACCGGUGAUGAGCACCCCGCCAAUCACCCAAGACUCAUUCCCUCCCCCACUGCAAAGUAGCUGUAGCGUGUACCGUCCACAAAAUACACUGCAAUCCAACACCGUCUAACAAGCACAAGAUCUUUAUCACAAUGAAGGACAAAGGCAGUAGGUGCAAGGGAACACUAGCACCUGCAGAUUCCCCUUCAACCACAUGAGAACGUACCACUGGUCCUUCAACAUUACUGGAUUGUAAUCCUGGAACCCUUUCCCAACAGCAUAUGGGAAUCUUCACAUGGACUGCAGUGUUCAAGAAAGUAGUUCACCAACACCUUCUCAAGCGCAAUUAGGGAUGGGCAAUAAAUGCUGGCUUUGCUUUCCAUGUCCAGAUCCCACAAACAAAGAAGUCCUCAUUAUUUAAGGGAGAGAGGUCACAGACUACUACAGAGACACACCAUCCUUCAUGGAUAUGUGUACACUCAGGAGCCACUUUGUUCGGUAGACCUGUACACCUGCCUGUGAAUGCAAAUAUCUAUUCAGCCAAUCAUGUGGCAGCAACUUAAUAAUGCAUAAAACAUGCAGACAUGGUCAAGAGGUUCGUUUGUUGUUUGGACCAAACACCAAAAUGUGGAAGAAAUGGGAUCUAAGUGACUUUGACUGUGGAACGAUUGUUGGUACCAGAUGGGAUGGUUUGAGUAACUUACAACCUACUGAUCUCCUGGGAUUUUCAUGCAAAAUGAUCACUAGGUUUUACAGUAAGUGGUGUGGAAAACAAAAGACAUCUUGUGUAUGGCAGUUCUGUGUGCAGAAAGACCUCAUCCAUGAGAAAAGUCAGAGAAGAAAGGCUGGACUGGUUCAAGCUGACAGGAAGGCGACAGUAUCUCAAACAGGCAAACACAUUACAACAGUGGUGUGCAGAAGAGCAUCUCUGAAUGCAUAACAUGUCGAACCUUGAAUUGGACAGGCUACAGCAGCAGAAGACCACACCAGGUUUCAUUCCUGCACCCAAUAAAGUGGUCACUGAGUGUAUUUCAGCUAUUGGACUGAAAACCGGCCAUUGGUAUUCAUUACUUGCCAGCAUAACAACACAUUUCAUAUCAAACAUGAUUCACCAGGCACCACAGUAGAGGACGUUGGAGAUACGGGCUGUAUUUAUCAACACUCCCAGUAAUACGUGGCCGACCCUAUGAGUACCAAGUUUCAUUGAAAGUAAGUUGCUGUUAACAAGAACUUUGUGCAUGUAUAAAAACCCACUUUCUAAUACUGUUGACGAUCACCUUGCUGAUGAAUGAAAGCAGACUGAUUUUGUUGUAAUUAGCUAAAUGAGGUUGCUCCUGCUUUUCUUUUCUCUGGCCACCACCAAAUUGAACAAGACCAUUAGACAUAGCAGAAGAAUUAGGCAGUUUGCCCCACCAGGUCUAUUCCACAAUUCCAUCAUGGCUGAUUUAUUGUCUUUCUCAAUCUCAUUCUCCUGCCUCCUCCCUGUAAUCUUUGAUGUGCUUACUAAUCAAGAACCUACCUACCUCCGUUUUAAGUAUACCCAAUGACUUGGCCUCUACAGCCAUCUGUGGCAAUGAAUUCCACAGAUUCACUACCCUUUGGCUAAAGAAAUUCCUCCUUAUCUCUAUUCUAUUCUCAGGCUGUGCUAGAACUUAUGAGGAAGUUUUAGACUUCCCCCACUAUAGGAAACAUCCUCUCCACGUCCACUCAAUCUAGGCUUUUCAAUAUUCAAUAAGUUGAAAUGAGACCAUCUCUCAUUCUUCUAAACUCCAACAAGUACAGGCUUAGAGUAAUCAAACACUCCUCAUGUGUUAACCCUUUCAUUCCCAGGAUAAUUUUUCAUGAACCUCCUCUGGAGCCUCUUCGAUGCCAUCUCAUCCUUUCUCAGAUAAGGGGCCCAAAUCUCCUCACAAUAUUCCAAAUGCAGUGUGACCAAUAUAAAGCCUCAGCAUUACAUCUUUGCUUUCAUAUUCUGGUCCUCUCAAAAUUAAUGCUAAUAUUGCAUUUGUCUUCCUUACCACUGAUUCAACCUGAAAGUUAAUCUUUUAGGAAUCCUGCAGUAGGACUCCCAAGUCCCUUUGCACCUCUGAUUUCUGAAUUUGCUCCCUGUUUAGACACAGUGCAAUUCAAACUGGAAAGGAGGUCAAAUACAUGAUAUACUGUAGAAUCUCUACCAGAGGCUUACUGUAUCGAUAAUGGACUAGUGCAACAUAUAAAGCAUUGUUGGUCAUAACAAAUGCUUUUUUUCCUGAUCAGAUUGUUUGCAAUCCAGUGUAAAAUCUUCUCUCCACAGCAGAAGGAAAGGAUAAAAAGUGAAAAAGACAAUACCCAGUUUAGCAUACUGUCAGGUGAAUGCAGAGGAAUUCUUAA